AAGUCGUAACAAGGUUUCCGUAGGUGAACCUGCGGAAGGGCAUUAUCACGUAUCCAAACGUUAAAAAAACCCCCCGUGAACAUUGAUCCUGCUAUUGUAACCCGCGAAGCUUGCAAUCUCUGGUAAAUCAUAGCCCGGAAAGUAGUUUUAAUUCAGAGAGCUCUGGCCCGUGAGAAUAUUGGAACAGUUACAAUUUUGAGCGGUAGUUCCGUAGGCGUUGUUUCCCCAAACAGUCAGUGCCUGAAAGUGUGAAAAAAAACCGAACAAAUGUUAACAAUGGAUAUCUUGGUUCUC
rnacentral:misc_RNA from 1 species